AAGGCCAUAGCAUGACUGAGAGCUGGCACAGAAACAAGGGGAAAGGGGUGGAUGCAGGUGCUGUUUGCACUGUGCAGACUUCGGUGGAGAAGGGAGGGCAAAGUUUGGUCUUCAGCCUGAGCAGAUUCCUCACUGCUAUAAACUGACAAAGUUGUUAUCAGACCUUUCUCUAAAUAAAUCGUAAAAACCUGUACAGGUGAUUAUUUUAUGAGCAAAGAGGGAAAUGACAGAAGCAGAACACCAGCAGUGACCUCCAUGGCUCUGCUGGGGGAAGAGGGACAGGCCACGGACAAACACAGUCCAUCCGCAAGGCUGUCUCACCAUCCCAGAGGCUGAAGAGCUCAUGUGACGAGGACACCACUGAGAUAUUCAUGGGAAAAGAUCACACACAAAGCCAAGGGGAUGCUGGUGCCACAGCACUCUGCUCUGGGUACACAUGUGAGAGAGAGUGCUCACCUCUGACUGAACUGAGCGUAAACAGUGGGAUGCAAGGACAGGGUGUCCUACAGCGCUCUGCUGGGGUAGGUGGUGGUCCUGUGGAGCAGGAGCCUGCAGUGCUGUUGGGAGUAGGGGAAUGCACCUGGGCCACAUCUUCAGCACCAGCUGAGCUGAGAACCAGAGGAUUGAAAGGGGCAUCAGGUGCCCAUGGGACUCAGGCUGUUUAUUGCCACUGUGACACCUCUGAGGACUCAGAGAGAGGGACCAACCCAGCUUCACACUGAGAUUCAGCUGGAACAAGCCCAUGGACUCUGACAGAUGCCCUGGAGUUUGGAGGCUGAUGUACCUGGUCAGUGAGGGACAGAUUUCAGCUCUCUUCAUUAGCUUCUAAGAUAAAAUCUGGGACAGGAAACAGCACUGACAAUGCUUCUGAGCAAGAAGUAUGGAAAGCUCAUCUAGUGGCCUAGGCUCAAAAUUAAUUCAGUCAGUUGAGAGACGUGGGGUGAGUUGCUGCAGUGCGCAACACCCCACUACCUGUUUUCCAAACAGCCUAUAUCAGCUCCCUCAGAGAACAGUGAAGACCAGCAGGUGUGGAGUACUCUGGUUCCUGACAGGGGAAGCAAGGAAAGCCAGGCUGGCAGCAACACUCAGGUUUAUGAAGAGCUCUGAAAUGUCCCUUCUCAAGAGAGGUGCUUCUCUUUUUUGAAGCUGGCUGAUCUUUAAGAAGCAUUGUACAGAGCAGGGUCAGAAAGCAGGCAACUCUCCCACCCCUCAUGGCACAGCUGUGGGACUGCUGUGGUGGGGAACACUUCUGCUAAAUGCUUUGAUGGAAAAGGAUUACCUCCUGCAUCUGGAAAGAAGCAGGAAAACACCUUUCCAUGCAGUGGCAUCUAACCAGGGAACAACUACAUAGGAACCACCUCUAGUGGAAGAGCAAUACUCUUCUGCAGCAAGACUAACAGAUCCCAUGUAUCAGCAUGGCUUGGACAGGAAAUCUUGCCAUAACCUCAUGAAGAGCAGGGGCAAUGAGCAGGGAGGACAAACUGGAGCUGCAGACCCAUGGACAGGCAGGCACUGUGGUGCCUGGAUCUAAACUCCCUGGUGCUCUGACUAAUCGGGACUGGCAUUUCAUUUGGUCCACUACAUAUAAGCACUGAGUUUAGCUGAAAAGUCUGGUCCUGCAGCCAAAAUGUUGAGGGGAAGCCUACUGUGAGCCCAAUGUGAGAAGUGGAGCUGCAACAUCCUAGAGCUGAAAGUGUGCCAGGUCCAGGAUAUGCUGUGUAGAAACCCUGGGACACUGGACUUUUGCCCUUUUCACCUCAUGACCACCCUGAGCACAGUAUUUUUCUUAAUGGCAUCUCUCAGCUUUUAUGGGUCCUUGUCAGCAAUUCUAUGAAACACCAGAGGACAAUUCAGUUCAUAUAUAUCCCUGCUCCCCGUAGGAACCCUCAUCUCUCUCCAUUGAUGGCAAGGUGGACUUCUCAUAUGCGUUAGGCUCCUGAAAUUUGGUGGUGGCAAUAUCCUCCCUGAGACAAAAUAACUAGUUACCUGCUCUAAACAUAGUAAACGUGCCACUUCUGCUUGCCAUCCCCUAGCAGGCCUCCACACAGCUCCUGCCGACAGCUAUGGAAACAUUCCCAUGGAUUACCACGGGUGCUGGAGGAGGGCCUUAUAUAGUGAGACUUCUCUGCCUCCCCUUUGCCCUAAGCCCUUCACAGAAGUACUUUAUUGUUUUAUGACAGCGCAGUAACACUUGACAUAAAUCUCUAAGCACAGCUAACAAUGUCAAUACUGUGUAAAUACCUACAGUAGAGACCCAUAUUUUAUUAUACUUUUGCCCUCUUUUACCUGCUGUCACCCAGGGUUAACUCUGUGCUAGAUGCACAUGCAUUUUACAAGGAAUCUGCCACUUUUAUACACGCUACAGCUCACAUCUCUGAAAACUGAGAGCCCAGCUCUGGUUCUUUCACAAACUGCAGCUUUCACUGCAGUCAGCAGAGCUUGUACCUGCUUAAAGGAUCGAUCACGCUGUCUGUUAAAUCAGAGAUGAGUGCCCUUCAGAAGUGCAGAGUCCAAAUCAGAGCAGUACAUUUUGCAAUAUGUACCCAACAAACAACAUCCACCAGUAUCACAAGCAAUUGCGUGCCGAUGCCUGAUGAGUGAAUGGUGUGUGCUGGGGUCUCAGUUCUUCCACCCUAACCUUGUUCUCACAGGAGUCUGUAUCCCCUGUUCUCAGAAAUCAGUGGGAUUACUUGCAGGGCAAGGCACGAAUCAGUGGAGACAGACUCAUCCGUGGCUUAGUCGCUGUACUUUAGGUACCUGCCUGCAGUGUCAGUCACAAAUGAGAUUAACUUAUAACCUUCAGUGCUACGAAAGCACUUUGGACUGAUGCUCCAUGCACACUGAUUACAUCUAUUACUUUCUUACACAGAUUCAGUAACUUGCGCUUUCUUAUUUUUAAACAAUAUUUAACUUUACUAACAAUUCCUUCUUAUUCACCUGUAAAUACAUCAUAUUGUAUCUACAUGGUAAACACCUGGGAACUUUCAAGUCAAUGAAAGUUCAGCCCUUAACACAA